AGAAUGAACGCUGGCGGCGUGCUUUACACAUGCAAGUCGAGCGAGGCGGGUAGCUUGCUACCUAGUCGAGCGGCGAACGGGUGAGUAACGCGUGGAUCAUCUGCCUUCAGGUGGGGGAUAACCCGGGGAAACUCGGGCUAAUACCGCAUAACAUCUCCGGAUCAAAGGGGGCGCAAGCUCCCGCCAGAAGAGGAGUCCGCGUACGAUUAGCUAGUUGGUAGGGUAAUGGCCUACCAAGGCGACGAUCGUUAGCCGGCCUGAGAGGGUGACCGGCCACACUGGAACUGAGACACGGUCCAGACUCCUACGGGAGGCAGCAGUGGGGAAUUUGCGCAAUGGGCGAAAGCCUGACGCAGCAAACGCCGCGUGGAGGAUGAAAGGUCCUUGGAUUGUAAAACUCCUGUCAGCAGGAAGAAAAUGCGCCGACCUAGUACGUCGGUGAGUUGACUGUACCUGCAGAGGAAGCCCCGGCUAACUCUGUGCUAGCAAGCCGCGGUAAAU
rnacentral:rRNA from 1 species